rnacentral:rRNA from 1 species
UUCUAACCGUAAACUAUGCCAACUAGCGAUCCGUCGGUGUUAAAUAUUGACUCGACGGGCAGCUUCCGGGAAACCAAAGUUUUCUGGUUCCGGGGGAAGUAUGGUUGCAAAGCUUAAACUUAAAGGAAUUGACGGAAGGGCACCACCAGGAGUGGAGCCUGCGGCUUAAUUUGACUCAACACGGGGAAACUCACCCGGCCAGGACACAAUAAGGAUUGACAGAUUGAUAGCUCUUUCUUGAUUUUGUGGGUGGUGGUGCAUGGCCGUUCUUAGUUGGUGGAGCGAUUUGUCUGGUUAAUUCCGAUAACGAACGAGACUCUAGCCUAUUAAAUAGACGAUAUAUUAUUAGUAUAACGAGCUUCUUAGAGGGACAAGCAGCUUCUAGCUGCACGAGAUUGAGCAAUAACAGGUCUGUGAUGCCCUUAGAUGUCCGGGGCUGCACGCGCGCUACAAUGAAAAUAGCAGCGUGCUUUAAAACCUUUUCUGGUAAGAAUUGGUAAACACGAAAUAUUUUCGUGCUAGGGAUAGGGGAUUGCAAUUAUUGCCCUUAAACGAGGAAUUCCCAGUAAGUGCGAGUCAUCAGCUUGCGUUG